rnacentral:rRNA from 1 species
CGCCGCGGUUAUACGGGCAGGCCCAAGUUGAUAGAUUUCGGCGUAAAGAGUGGUUACGGAUCAAACCCACUAAAGUUAAACACCCCCCUCACUGUAAUACGCGCCCGGGGGCAGGAGACCCCACUACGAAGGUGACUUUAACACUACUCCCGAACCCACGACAGCCAGGAAA